AAGAAACCAACAGGGAUUGCCUUAGUAGCGGCGAGUGAAGCGGCAAAAGCUCAAAUUUGAAAUCUGGCACUUUCAGUGUCCGAGUUGUAAUUUGAAGAAGGUAUCUUUGGGUCUGGCUCUUGUCUAUGUUUCUUGGAACAGAACGUCACAGAGGGUGAGAAUCCCGUGCGAUGAGAUGUCCCAGACCUAUGUAAAGUUCCUUCGAAGAGUCGAGUUGUUUGGGAAUGCAGCUCUAAGUGGGUGGUAAAUUCCAUCUAAAGCUAAAUAUUGGCGAGAGACCGAUAGCGAACAAGUACAGUGAUGGAAAGAUGAAAAGAACUUUGAAAAGAGAGUGAAAAAGUACGUGAAAUUGUUGAAAGGGAAGGGCUUGAGAUCAGACUUGGUAUUUUGUAUGUUACUCUCUCGGGGGUGGCCUCUACAGUUUACCGGGCCAGCAUCAGUUUGGGCGGUAGGACAAUUGCAAAGAAAUGUGGCACUGCCUCGGUAGUGUGUUAUAGUCUUUGUCGAUACUGCCAGCCUAGACUGAGGACUGCGGCUUCGGCCUAGGAUGUUGGCAUAAUGAUCUUAAGUCGCC
rnacentral:rRNA from 1 species